rnacentral:rRNA from 1 species
GACAUCAGGAGGUUAGUGCAAUGGCAUAAGCCAGCUUGACUGCGAGCGUGACGGCGCGAGCAGGUGCGAAAGCAGGUCAUAGUGAUCCGGUGGUUCUGAAUGGAAGGGCCAUCGCUCAACGGAUAAAAGGUACUCCGGGGAUAACAGGCUGAUACCGCCCAAGAGUUCAUAUCGACGGCGGUGUUUGGCACCUCGAUGUCGGCUCAUCACAUCCUGGGGCUGAAGUAGGUCCCAAGGGUAUGGCUGUUCGCCAUUUAAAGUGGUACGCGAGCUGGGUUUAGAACGUCGUGAGACAGUUCGGUCCCUAUCUGCCGUGGGCGCUGGAGAACUGAGGGGGGCUGCUCCUAGUACGAGAGGACCGGAGUGGACGCAUCACUGGUGUUCGGGUUGUCAUGCCAAUGGCACUGCCCGGUAGCUAAAUGCGGAAGAGAUAAGUGCUGAAAGCAUCUAAGCACGAAACUUGCCCCGAGAUGAGUUCUCCCUGAGACUUAG